rnacentral:tRNA from 1 species
GGGGGUGUAGCUUAGUGAUAUGGCUCUUGCUUAGUAUGUGCAAGAACCUGGGUUCAAUCCCCAGCACUGUUA